CGGGAGUGGUCAGUGCAGCUGUGGAUGGCUCAGAAGUCCUGCUGCUGAAGUCCCUGCAGGCACAGAGGCUGCCUGUCCCAGCCAGGGAGGCCAGGCACGCGGAACCGCCUUGCCAAGCCUUGACCCGCUACUAGCUGGCUACUGUGUUUAUUUCAGGGUAAAGAUGCCCCAGGACUUCAGCUGAAUGACUCCAGUGUUGGUGCACCAGCUGCUGGAAUAAGCAUGGAGCACAGCUGGGAAAGGAAGAGAGAACCGGGUGGUGGGGAGAAGACAGAAGAGGAGAGGGUAAUUUAAUAGUGGGAAGGUAAUUACAAGAUAUUGAAUGUAGUUCCCUGUGCUAUUCAGUGGGUCCUUGUUGAUUAUCUAUUUUAUGUAUAGUAGUGUGUAUCUGUUAAUCCCAAACUCCUAAUUUAUCCCUCCCCCCUUUCCCUUUGGUAACCAUAAAUUUGUUUUCUGUG